rnacentral:misc_RNA from 1 species
CCGAGUGCUGGGUCCUUCGGGGCCCAACCUCCCACCCGUGUCUACCGUACCUCAGUUGCUUCGGCGGGCCCGCCUUCACGGUGGCCCGGGGGCUUGCCCCCGGGACAGCGCCCGCCGGAGACCCUUUAAACAAGAACCCUUGCCAUGAAUGCCUUGUAGUCUGAGUUGAUGAUUAAAUUCAUUA